rnacentral:lncRNA from 1 species
ACCCCCGCCUUCUCUGGAUUUUAAAGACUGUGUAGGAGGAGAAAUUGGGGACGGAGUUCCCCUGGUUAAUUCAUUUAUCGUAAGUUCCCGUAACCAAACUAGGCCCUCAGUUGAGGCCUUAGACCUUCAAAGUUCUUUCCGCUUCGUACACUGAGAUAAGAAUCCCUGAAAAGAAGCUGCUUGCCCUCCCCGGCUUACCAUCCUUGGGCACUCAGCAGUGCGGGGAUGCGGCUGCCCUAUUUCCCGCGUAGAAACAACUGCAGGUGGCGCCGCCCGCUGAAGAGUGCAGAACUGUGGCCCUGAGCCAAGCUGGGGCAAAUAUGGAAGACGCGGGAUGAGAGAGGGUGGGGCGAAAGGACGCUAUGAGGAUUCCUGGAGGCAGGGACCAGAGCAGAGGCGGUGAGUGGCAGGAGGAGGCAAAUGUCCCCGCGACGGGGAACUUUAUCGGGUUGAAGUUCCCUCUGCCGUCGCCUCCUGCUCGCGAGCAUAGCUGAGCCUGGUGUGCGGCCUUUCUGGAAAGCAGGUCGCCACCCUCCUGGGCGUGGGACUCCGGCCCGCAAGGAGCCUCGGGGACUCACGCAUGGCCGCGCCUGAAUCUGGCUACGCAUUGCGACUCUGCCGCGCAUGCGCAGCUCCGUCCCCUUCAGAGGCGCGCGUGUGCUCGUGGAGGCGGCGCUUCCUCCAAAAGUAAAGCCAGAAGCGCUCAGGCCUAGAUUGCCUCCCUGCGACCUUUCCUACAGACUGGUGCAUAGUAUUUUUAAAACAUCAGCGAGGACGACGUCUUCUCUGCGAGUCUGGGGAGGGGGCAAAACCAGGGGAAGAGCCGCCGCCGCGCCGCCGUCGCUCUCCAACGCCAGCGCCGCCUCUCGCUCGCCGAGCUCCAGCCGAAGGAAAUAGCGGGGGAAAUGAACUCCUCAUAUAGGCUAUAUUGAAUAGUAAUAAUGGUCACCUGAAGUUGUUGGUGUUUGGCCUCCCCUGGAAGCAAGAUAUCUGUAUGAAAGACCCACACCUAAGAAGUAAUACUGACAAAUGUCAGACAUUUGAUUGGCACAUUAUCUGAGCAGAGGGAUUAGAGAAAGUUCUAAGAAUCUAUGACUCAUCUAUUCCGUACAAUCAAAAUCCAAAUCAUAACUGUUAAUGUCUUUGUAAAUGAGUCAGACCUACUGUGUGGUUCAGAGACUUUUCAUUUUAUGUUGAUUUCUAAGAAUUGCAAAGUUUAAGCCUCCUUGACUUUUACAAGCGUAGAA